rnacentral:lncRNA from 1 species
AUGCUCUUCUGGGUUUGUCUCUCGAAGUCUCUCCUUGAGUCUGAAAGGCUGUGCCAGAACUUUCAUCACCAUCACCAUCACAGGAGGAGUUUCCAGCCAGUGACCUGGCUUAGCAUCCACCGCUUCUCUCUUGAUUUGAUGGCUGGGAGGAGCAGGCUGACUUCCACACUGAAGAGACAAAGCCACAGUUUGGAGCUCCUGCUUGACGCGUUGUUUCUGAGAGGGAUACGAGCUGUUUUGGACGCAGGCCUGACACAGGCUUGUGAGACGGUGUGCAGCCAUCAUGAGCCCUGGAGCCGAGAGGCGGCUGAGGUUGGGUGCAGUUCCCUACUGUCCAGCGUUCUCUCUGUUCCCUAUCCUGUCUUGCAGAGAUGAGGUGGAGGCAUUACAAAGGGAGAAAUUUUACUGUUUGUGGUCAAACAGUAUUCAGGAUGUCAUUACCAGUUUCACCUAAGUCUUCUUUCCAAAAUGCUAUUAUAUAAUUUCUCUGCAGAAAUUCCGCUUAACACCCAGCCUUCCAGACUUUGCUGUCGCACUUGUUUUAAACCUUGUCUUUGUACUAAUUACACAGCAAUGACGGAGAAUUACUUUUUCCCUUAAAAAUAAAACUGCCCCAAAUUUCA